rnacentral:lncRNA from 1 species
AACCACGGCUGAGGAGCCAUCCCCGUCAGCUCUGGUCCUUCAGGCUCCACAGGAAGAUCUGGACAACACCCCGAGGUCACCAUGGAGAUCCCACAGUGACCUCUGACACCUCCUGUGGUGGCACCUGAGGUCACCAACCCCAACCCAACCGUGGCUGACAGGUGACCCAGCUCAGCUCAUUGUCCUCCAGGCUCCACAGGAAGAUCUGGACAACACCCCGAGGUCACCAUGGACAUCCCUGACACCGUGGGGACCUCGGACACCUCCCUGGUGGUACCAGGUGUACCCCAGGUGUACCCAGGUGUCCCCAGGUGCAUCCAGGUGUCCCCAGGUGUAUCUCAGGUGUCCCCAGGUGUCCCCAGGUGUGUCCAGGUGUCCCCAGGUGUGUCUCAGGUGUAUCUCAGGUGUGUCCAGCUGUCCCCAGGUGUAUCUCAGGUGUCCCCAGGUGUGUCCAGGUGUCCCCAGGUGUAUCUCAGGUGUACCCAGGUGUCCCCAGGUGUGUCCAGGUGUGUCCAGGUGUACCUUCUGGCCGAUGGCAGACACCAGGUAGCCGUGACAGUGACACAGGGCUGUCACCGGUCCCUUCUGCUCCUUCUCGUAGAGCACCUUGAACUUGUUCUUGGUGAGCGGCUGUCCCGGCUCCGGAACCACCUCGAUNUGUCAUUGUCACCAUGUCAUUGUCACUGGCAUUGUCACCGUGUCAUUGUCACCAGUAGUGUCACCGUGUCAUUGUCACAGUGUCACUGCCAUCACCAUUGCCGCCGUCGUCUUUGUGUCAUUGUCACCGUCACUGUCAGUAUCACUGUCACCAUCGCACCACUGUCACCGUGUCAUUGUCACCGUCAUGUCAUUGUCAUUGUCACCAUCACUGUCAGUAUCACUGUCACCAUCACACCACUGUCACCGUGUUGUUGUCAUCAUCAUGUCAUUGUCAUUGUCACCGUCACUGUCAUUGUCACCACCACCACCAUUGUCAUUGUCACUGUGUCACUGUCAUUGUCACAUCAUUGUCACAGUGAUGAUGACAACCGUGACAUGUCAUGACAAUGACAAUGACAGUCAUCC